rnacentral:rRNA from 1 species
UACGGGGGGGGUAAGCGUUGUUCGGAAUUACUGGGCGUAAAGGGCUCGUAGGCGGCCAACUAAGUCAGACGUGAAAUCCCUCAGCUUAACUGGGGAACUGCGUCUGAUACUGGAUGGCUUGGAUCCGGACGAGGGAUGCGGAAUUCCAGGUGUAGCGGUGAAAUGCGUAGAUAUCUGGAGGAACACCGGUGGCGAAGGCGGCAUCCUGGGCCGGUAUUGACGCUGAGGAGCGAAAGCCAGGGGAGCAAACGGG